UCUGCGGGGAGAGCGGGGCCGCCGUCAGCGGGGCCGCCCCGGUGAGCAGCGCGGCCGCGCAGGCCCCGCGCAGCGCCACGGCGGCGGGGGAAGCGGCGCCCGGCUCCCGCAGGGGGGAAGGAAGGAUGGACUCUGGCACCAGGUAGCAUGUUUUGUUUUGUAAUUUUUUUAAAAACCAAAAUUCAUCAUUAGCAACCAAACUUUUUGGCUUCAGGUUAGAUGCAGGAGGCCUACAAGAAACUCGAAAUCCCCACUGUUAAUACUACGGGAAAUGCUUUAAUUCCCUCUUCCACUGGAAAAAAAAGAGAAGGCAGCAGAGAGACUUCAGAGCAAAGAUAAACAAGUGACAACAACAAAGAGCUGAUUAGGAAGCACCAGGACAUCUAAUACAGUAAGAGAGAACUAUAAAGACCCAUGAGCCGAGGGGUGUCUCCUGGGAAUACAAGGGUAGAGAUACAGGGAAGCAGGCAGAAGUAUUUCCAAGACUUUUCUUCAAAUUAUGUCUUUUAAGGAAAAGAAUAUAUCAUCCAGGAACAAAAGAGUUCAAGAAAGCUGGCAAGAAACAUACUGCUGAAUGUUGUGGACAGACACCAGAGGAGGCAAGAAAGAAAGGGCUUAUCAACCAGCGACCUGGCAACCACGAGCGCGGCUGUGCUGGGGAGCUUCGUGAAGGGCCUGCGCCCCAGUUAUAACAGACACCAUCCCAAGCCGUAGCAACGCACCUGGCUGCUCUCCAGGACAAGCUGCUAAGUCAUCAACUGAAUGUUCUAAGCCUGACUAGACGAGAGAGGCAGGAUGGGGAAGAGGAACAGCCUGGUUCAGCUCAGGUCACAUAGCAGAUCUUGUGAAGAUCUGAAGCAGCCUGAGGACGACCCUGUCAGAAGGACUGCAAUGACCAUACAGCUGUACAGUUUUAAUAUCAGAUGGGGCCAGCAGGUACAUUGAGGAUGGAGAGGCUUGUAGCAGAAUUCCACUGAUUUUCUUGGGAAUACACAUUAGUUAUACAGAAACCCAAGGCAAGUACUUCUGAUUCAAACGUAAUACAUGAGUAUAGAAUGACCACGUCCCCUUCUAAACCAUCCUGUUACUAUGGUUAUACAAUGAAUCCUCACAUCCUGAGGGGCAAGCGAAACAAGUGCUAUUCUUUCCACCUGCCACAGGACUGAGUUUGAUGUUGGAGUUUCAUAUGCUAUAAGCCAACCCACCCUGCAGAGAAGUGUUAGUUCCACAUCCAUGAAAUCUUAAUCUUUUUAGGAGUAAUCUCUCUGUCUUUUGCCCCCUUGAAGUUAAGCACUGAAAAAGGAGACAAAAUGCAUGGCAGGUAUUGGGCUUAAUUUCUAUUACUGGUCCAAAGUUGCUCAAAUUUUCUAAGUUCAGUAAGUGAAUCUGUCCUUCUCUGUGUGGACCUGCCAUAAACUGGGUAUUUGUGUACAUUAUUUGAUCUUCAAACCCUUAAAAAAGAUGCAGUAACAUCACACACCCCAAAAUGGACACACUGCUGUUCUGCAGUCUCUCUAAUCAGAGUGGGAUGAUAUGUUUUUUUAAGAGAUUGUUUAGCCCAGUUAGUAGGUUUUCCAACUGACUGGGACUUAGUCCUAUGUUAACUGCAUACUUGUUUUUACAAAGCUUUAUUUGCAAGACCUACCGUUUUUGCUUUGAGGAAGCUCAGUAAAUCACUACAUUUACUCCUUUUUAAUCUUCCUACCAAAAACAGGGACAGGGGACAUGGAAUUGAAUACUUGGUUCUCUUAAAAUUUCCCUUGAAGAAUCUCAGUCAGAUUGGAGAACAGCAUAUGUGAAAAUAAUUCAUUCAUUUCUAAGAAAUUAUCCUGACUUCACUGAAAACAUAGUUUUCAUACAUUUGAUCUAUACCAGGGAUCCAACUUUGUUCAUUAAUAUUUAGGACUGUCCUAGCAUUGGAAAACCCUCCUUCCUGUUAGAGAUGAAAUGUCCACCGUAGGCCAGGUUUUAAUAGCAUUGUCUCAAUUGUGAAGGAUAUAGUAAUUACAAGCAGCCUGCGUUAGUGACAAAGUAGAGGAAGCAAGAGAGACUUUGUUCCAGCCAAACAGGCCAUUUAAGAAACAAAAGCAAAACUGUAUUACUUUCACAUGGGCUAGAAUUUGAGAAACAAAAGAUAUGAAUCCUCUUAAAAUCCCUUUCAUACAAGAGCUGACCGAGUCCAGACUUCAUGCAGACAGACCAUCUUCAGGAGAGUUCAGAAGCAAUGUACUCUGCCCAGUCAUGUUAUUUAGAGGUAGUGCUAAAGGUGACCUGUAAAAGAUUUGUAAUAUCCUUUUUUGCUUCUUUACGCAAAGCAUAGUAUAUUUGUAGCAUUAUGGUUGUAGGAUGAGAAGCUGAGUGGUUAGGGCAAAAACUGCCUCUGAGCAUUGAGUGCUAUACCUGUUUCUGACACUUAAUUUGUAUGAUGGAGGAAAUCUCUUAUUUGAAUGUGCUUCAGAGUUUUCAAUGAUAAGAAAGUGUGGUCUCUCUCUUACCAUCCUCUGGGGUGUGCUUUGCAAUCUGCAGAUGAAAAGGGUUAUGAGGAAGGCUAAAAGGUGUAUAGGUGUGGUGAGGGGAAGGGGUAUUCCUUGUUUAUCUAAGAAAUAUUAAAUAUUUGAUACUUUCUCCCUCCUUUUGACUAAAAGCUUCUUGAAAAAAAUGAAAAUGGGAAUAAAAGAUUUCUUAAGAGUACUUUUAAGAGAACAGGUGUUGACUCUAUUACCACAGAAUUUUUUCCUGGUUUGUUAUGUGUUAAACUAAACAAAUAUUGAUUAAAAGGCUUUUUUUUUUUGCAUUCAUAGACUAAUACUGCCUCCAUCUCUGCAAUAGUUCUGUUUCUUGUUUUCUCUAACAUCACACUUGCACUAAAUUCUUCAACCCUUCAUAGAAUCUGGCAAUAAAGAAAAAAAACUGUAUUGCAA